rnacentral:lncRNA from 1 species
AUGCCGUCAAGAUCACAGGAGGACAACACCAUGCCUGGCUGGUAUUCCUAUAUUUAAACAAGGAGUUCUAAAUAAAUGACUACAGUACAUUUGCAGCAAGCUCUCGAAUCCGCCUGGUGAUUGGGGUGACCGCGAACGUGGCCUGGGACCCCGAAUACUUGAGUUUUUGGGAGUCUAACAUUUUGGGGGCUCGUCCGGGAUUUGCGACCACCCUUCACCUAAGUGGAUUCAGACACUUGGAGUACCUGGCACGGGAAAGGAGUUCUGCCAUGUGUCAUGGGUUAGAAUGUGUUAUGUUGGAGUCCCCCGAGGCUGCUUUUCUGAACUCGAACCACUGCUGCAGCCCUUACAGCUGAGCCUGGCCCAUGUAGACAGACUGCCAGAUCCGGACAGUGACCCAAAGUCUCCAAAGAAGAUUAUGAGACACCCAGUUCCUGCACCUGGACCAGUGAGCGAGAUGCUCAGAUGUGAUACCUGCCGCCUGCCAGAACCUGGCCGAGACUGUGGACAAAGCUACUGGACACUGGAAAAUUGAUUACACCCCUUUUGCCUAGACAAAACAAGGUCAGUCUUUUCCAUGUCCCUCUUCCACCGAGAGGAAAAAAACUCUCACAGUAUAGGCCUGGCAAAGAUUGCUGUUCUUUGA